rnacentral:rRNA from 1 species
AUUGACCUCGGAUCAGGUAGGGAUACCCGCUGAACUUAAGCAUAUCAAUAAGCGGA